rnacentral:rRNA from 1 species
GCACUUGUACUGUGAAACUGCGAAUGGCUCAUUAAAUCAGUUAUCGUUUAUUUGAUUGUACCUUUUACUACUUGGAUAACCGUGGUAAUUCUAGAGCUAAUACAUGCGAAAAGUCCCGACUUCUGGAAGGGAUGUAUUUAUUAGAUUCAAAACCAAUGCGGGUUCUGCCCGGUUCUUUGGUGAUUCAUAAUAACUUUUCGAAUCGCACGGCCUUGCGCUGGCGAUGUUUCAUUCAAAUUUCUGCCCUAUCAACUGUCGAUGGUAAGGUAUUGGCUUACCAUGGUUACAACGGGUGACGGAGAAUUAGGGUUCGAUUCCGGAGAGGGAGCCUGAGAAACGGCUACCACAUCCAAGGAAGGCAGCAGGCGCGCAAAUUACCCAAUCCUGACUCAGGGAGGUAGUGACAAGAAAUAACAAUACAGGGCUUUUCUAAGUCUUGUAA